rnacentral:lncRNA from 1 species
UCCAAUCCAGAGCUACAUAAUUCAUUUAUCUUAAUCAUACUUUAGUUCACUGUUUAAUAUCAAUAAACUAUAUUCAACUACUCACUUUUCAAUCAGUGUUCUGUACAGAUCUAUUUCAAUAACAGUCAUUACCAUUCAUAUCAAAUCAACUUGCUAUCCCAGAUAGCUUUCAUUGUAUAAUACGAUUCGUGUGUUUCAGUUCACAUUUCAAUUCUUCAUUCAGUAUCAAUUUGAUCACUGUUAUAUUUAAUAACCCCUAUUAACAUGACUCGGACUCAGAUGGAUACACGGAUCCAACCAAACAUACCAGAAUGGCACCCGAUGCCUCAUCGAAUAGUUUAAAGCAAUAUAGUGACACUCAGUGUCUCAUCGGCCCAGCCGAAGUAAAGUGGUACACAGUACCUUAUCGAAUCUAUCUGAAGAAAUAUAGUGACACCCAGUGUCUCAUCGACUUGAGGUCGAAGUAUCCCUGAACUCUUCCAAUCCUAUUGCAUGCCAACUAUAUCCGACCUAGCCCGAUACUGUUAAUAGGGUUUCCGAUUCACUUUCCAGUUUCCAAUCAUUAUACACUUUAACAAUCACAUUUAUUCCCAAUUCAAUAUAACUCAAUUCACUUUUCAAUAACAAAUAUUCAAUUUCACAAUAAUCACAUUUUUCUAUCAAUUUCAUCACACUUCCAACUACAUAUAUUUUCCAAUAUAACAAAUAUUUAUUAUUCAAUUUCCACAUCAAUAUUCAUUUCAAUUCAAACAUUCACAUAUAUUCAUAAAUCAAUUCAAUAUAAUCAAUAGUCAAUCCAAUUCAAAUUAUCAUCUCAAAACACCUAAUAUAUAUAUAUCAAAUAAUAAAUCCAACAAUUUAAGUAUUAAGUUCGGAUUAUAGAAAUACAAACCGUAAUUUCCGAGCUAACUCUCGUUGUCUUUGUCUUUUUCCUUGCUUAGUCGAGAUUUCCCGAAACAACAUUAGCUACGGGAAUUAAAAUAAUCAUACCAUUAAAUUUCAGCACUCAUUAUAACAAAUAAUUGAAUUUCUAUUCAAUUUACACCUUAUUUUCAAUUAGGUCCUAACUAAUUCAUUCACUUUACUAACUUAAUUCAUACUCUAUUUCUAUUCAAGUUCCAUCCAAACUCAAAUUUAAUGACUAAAUUUUCAGCUUAUUUCACUAGUUUCGAAAUUUCCUCAAAUUAGCCCUUCAACAUAAAACUUAUGAAUUACUUUCAAAUUCAAUCCUUAUUUCAUUUCUAACUUGAAUUUCUAUCAAUUUAGCCCUUAUUUCAUCAUUUUACUCAACAUGAACAUUAUCUAGAAAUCUAAUAACUUGCAAAAUAUCAACUUAAUUUUAUCAAAAUCUUGUUCCAAAGCUACUAAAACAUCAAAAUUAUGUAAAAAAUGCUAAAUUGACUUACCUAUUAAAGCUUAAAGCUUCAAAACUUAAAUUCCUCCUUUUCUCUCUUUCUCUUUUUCCUUCAUUCUUUCCCUUUUCUGUUUUCAUUCUUCAUUAUGUUUCUUUUUAUUUCUUUUACUUUAUAUAUAUAUAUAUAUAAUAUAACAAUAAUAACUAUAUAAUAUCUAUUUUACAUUUGUAUACAUAUAUAUUAUUACACUUGUCUUCUUUUUUUUUCUAUUUAUUAUAUAAAUAUCUUUUACUUAAUAAUAAUAUAUAUUUUACUAAUAUACUUAUAUAAUAAGUAAAUAUACAUGUAUUUUACAAAUAUAUAUAUUAGUAUCACACAUGUCACCAUAUGCACCAUACAUUUGUCUUACUUUUAUUUAUUUAUCAUAUAAAUAUCUUAUAAUAUAAUUAUUUAAUUAAUAAAUGUCUUUUUUAAAUAAUAAAUAUCUAUUUAAUAUCAAAUACAUGUAUUCCAAAUGUAUGUAUUUUUAUUAACACACUUGUAUCAAAUCAUUACCAUACACAUAUAUUUAUUUAAUUUAUUUCAUAAUAUAAUAUAAAUUCAAUUAAUAAUAAUAACAUUAAUAAAUAUCAAUUAUAAAACCAUAAUAAUAAUUUAUUAUACAUAUUUAUGCAUAAAAAUAAAAGAUUUUUAUGCAUUUGCCGCCUCACUUAGGAAAAAUGGCAUAAUUCCAUUUUGGUCCUUUUUAUUUUCUUUUGAUCUACAAUUAAACUUUCACACUUUAUUCAAUUUAAUUUUUUUUUAUCUAAUUAUCCUUAAUUUAAGCUAAUUCACUUCAUUAAACUCUAAUUAAUCACUCACUUGACUUCAUAAAUAUUUUUAAUAAAUGUUUACGAGUCCAUUUUUCAGAAAUGGAGACCCGAAAAUAUAUUUUUCCGAUAACUGUAAAGUUCGAGUCAUUACAAAUAUUCCUUUGGCACAUGAAAUAUAUAACACAUUGACUCAUAAUACUUCAUAUCCACUAUCAAAUUAUCAUUACAUUUCACCUAUCACUUUUACAUAUUUACAAUUUAAUCAUUAAUUUCAUAAAAUUAAAUAUUCACUAACAUUUCAGUUUAAUCUCACUUAGCAUUGAAACUUAUACCAUAAACACUUCAUUAAAAUUCACCAUUACUACUUUAUUACACAUCAAAUUUUGGUCACUUUUCUAUCUAGUAUUCUUUGCAUAAAUUUUAUUUCACUUACUUUACAAUCUUUUCAAUUUAGUCCCUACUAGCAUAUAUUUUCAUUAAUCACCAUCCCCUCAUUUAGUUUUCACUUCAUCGCUAUUUAUAAUUACACUUGAAUAUGUUAUUUCAAAAUCUUAGUACACUUAGUCACUUUUAUAUAUUUUACAUUUUGGUCUUUUUAAAUAUGGAAUUCGAGUAUCACUAGAAAUUCUCUUAAAUAUCACCUUUUAAUUAUUUCACUAGCAUUUCAUUUAAGCUCUUUAUCAUAAUAUUUUAUUUCACACUUAAAAUUUUUUACAUUUUUCAAUUUAGUCAUUUUUACUAUAAAUUCACUACACUUAAUUUAUUCACUUUGUUGUUGAAGCUAAUUUCAUAUAUUCACUUCUUUCUACAAGAAUUUCAUAAUAAAUAUUAACAUUUUCCUAUACAUAUGUGUAAUUAAAUCUUAAGAACACCAAUCUAACAAUCAGAAUAUAAUUCACAUAAAUUCUAAUUUGGUAAGGUAAGAUUCAUGGUGUACUUACCUCUCUUUUACUAGAAUUUUUAUUAUUUUUGCUUUAAUUAUGUUCCUUCACUUUGUCUCCAACACUUUCAUCAUUUCUUCUCUUUUUCUACUUCAUGAGCACAUCAAAUUAAUAAUCAAAACUCACACUAAAAUCACUUUCUUAUGUCACUACUUCAAUUAAACAUGAAUUUUAUAAGAAAUACUUGAAUUUCUUACCUUGUUCUCUCUAUAUCAAGCAUUAGCUUGAUUUCUCUCUCCUCUAAUUCUAUCUUUCUUGAAUCCAAAUUGGUAUUCAUGUUCACUACAGUCUUCUUCUUUUUUUUGUCAUUUUUCUCUCUUGGUGGCUAUUGAAAUUCUUUUAUUUCUAAGUGAAAAUGGUAAAUUUUGAUGGGAAGAACCAAAUUGAAAAAAAAAAGCAAAAGCUUCUCUUCAUAAAAAAUGGUGGACGACAAAGCUAAGAAAGAUGGAGAAAUUUUCAUCAUCUUUUCUUCUUCUUCUUUUUUGUUUUCUUAACAUUUUCAAUUAGUAAAAGAUCUAAAAUAAAAUGAUAUUAAAAUAAUAUUAACCAAUCAAAAUAUAACACCAAUAUUCAUAAUUAUCAUGAUGUUUCAUGAUAAUUAUUCUAAUUGGGAAAUGACUAUUUUGACCUCUCAACAUUCUUUACUAUUCUUUCUUUGAAUCAUUGGAUGCGCCUCGACAUGUGUGCACCGAGGCUAAGAAUCAAUACAAAAAUAAUUAUAAUCUUGCAGUGUACUGCAAAUAUGUCAGGUUGAAUUGUAAUAUUUGUAGUGUUAUAAUGGAACACUCGGAUAUUCCAAGAAUCAAACCCAAGAGAGUUCGGGGGCUAAAUGAUUCCUAAGCAACAAGAUGCAACCAAUAAGUCUAGCUAACUACUCGCUAGGUCCUAUAUUAUGACGAUUCAUAAUUGAGGUUAAUUACAAUGAUUAAUUACCUAACAUUAAAAAAGACCAAAUUGUAAAAUAGGAAAAUUUAAGAAAUUAACAACUUAAUAAACAAAGCAAUUGGUUGACCUCCAUGUUGUUGAUUAGUCUUUGGAUUAGGGAUCUAAAAAUCUUAAACUUUUAAUUAACUCAAUUUUUCCUCUCAAUCUCUAUUUUACCAAAUUAGACAUUUUAGUCUGGUUUAUCUUUCGAAUUUACCAAACUAAGUCAAGACAAUCAAAUCGAUGCUCUAUCACAUCUCGAAAACUGAGUUAAAAGAAAUUGGAGUAGUGAGACUAAGUGUAACAACCCGAUUUUGGGUCUAGUCAGAAUAGUGGUUUCGGAACCACUAAUUCAAGGCUGGAGAAAUUAUUUUUAAUAUUAUUUUAAGUGUUAUAGCAUGAUUAUAUGAGUGCAUGAAAAUUUUGGUGAAAUGAUUUUAACAAUUGCUUGCUUAAUUUCAAAAAAAAGACUAAAUUGCAUAAAGGGUAAAAGUUUUGUUUUACUAGAAAAUGGUGUUAAAUAACUAGAGAAUCAUAAUUAGGGGUCUUUAAAAAGCAAAUAGACCCAUUUUAUAGAGGUGGCCGGCCAUAGAGACAAAGAAAAUAGAAAAGUCAAAAUUAGGUGAAGUUAGUAACCUAUUUUAACUAGAAAUAAAAUAAAAUAAAACAAAAGGCUUCAUCUUUUUACCAUUCAUCUUCUCCACUGAAAAUAUCAGCAAGAAAACGGGUUUUUGAAGCUUGAAACUUUCAGCCAUUAAGUUCUCUUAUAAGUAAGUGAUUUUGAUGACUUUCUUGAUAAUUUUUGUACUUUUGGGACCCUUGUAACAUAAGCUAACUAAUGGGGGGCUAUUUUGCAAAUGGUUGAAAUUUUAGGAUUUUUCCAUGAAAAAUUUUGUGUUUUUUUCUGAAAUAUUAUGGAAGAAAAUGAGUUAUGGUUGUUAAAUAAACAACUUUUGUGAAGUGAUUUUCAUGAAAACCCCUAAAAUAGACCAUUUUGUAAAAGUUAUAAAAUAAGUAGUAAAGGUGUGAAAUAAUUGGAUUUGUGAGUUGUAAUAAUCUUAAAAUAGAUUUGGCUAGGCUUGGUUAAUGAGGAAAUUUGAUGAAAAAUCGAUUUACGAGCCUUGGGGCAAAAUUGUAAUUUUAUGAAAGUUUAAAGGCAAAACGGUUAUUUUUCCAAAAUAUGAAAUAUGAUAUGUCAUGAUUUAUGUGAUGAUUAAAUUAGUGAAUUUUAUCAUUUUAGAUCAAAAAAUAUGAAAUCCGGACCUAGACCGGGGGAAGACCAAGCUAGUAGGCUAAUUCAAUCUAGUCGCCCACUUUUUGUAUACCGAGGUAAGUUGCACGUAAAUAUUACAAUUCUAUUGUUAUUAUGCAUUAAAUUAUUGAUAUUGCAUGAAAUGUUCGAUUUUGUUACGAAUAUGCAUGAUGAAAUUUGAUGUGGUGAAACUCCCAGUUGAACCGUAGAAAUAGAUCUGAUAUCUAUGCCGUGAUACUAAGGUUAUGUAAACCAGUGUAAGACCAAGUCUGGGACAUGGCAUCAGCCUCAAUAUGUGAGCUAGUGUAAGAUCAUGUUUGGAACAUGGCAUCGGCAUUAUUAUGAGAGCUAGUAUAAGACCAUGUCUGGGACAUGGCAUCUGCCUCAAUAUGUGAGCCAGUGUAAGACCAUGUUUGGAACAUGACAUCGGUUUUGUUACGAGAGCUAGUGUAAGACCAUGUCUAGGACAUGGCAUCAGCAUCUUACUCUUUUGUAUGAGGCUUAUCGGGUAUCUAUUUAUUUUUCCAACUGGUUCAACGGGUAAUUUAAAGAUUAUAUCAUGAUUGAGAAAAAUUAUGAUUACGUUGCAAGUGGUACAGGUACCUACACGAAACUUAUAAGAAUGAGCUCGGGUUAUGUAUGUGAAUAGUAAGGAUGAAAUGAGUAAGUUAAGUCUAUAGUCAUUCGAGAAUCUUGUGCAAGUGUAUGAUAUGUUAUGGGUAUGAUGUUACUUGGUAAAGCAAUGUUAAUUAUUUACUUGUAACUUACUAAUCUUUAUGCUUACUUCCUCUCUUUUCCAUUUUUUUAUAGUGUCGCCAAGCUAGGUCGGGAAUCAAAGGAUAUCGGAGGCAUUGAUCACACUAUCACCUCAAGUUUUUGGUAUAGUUAGUUUAAAUGUUUUUAAGCGUGGCAUGUAUAGGGAUUUGAUCCUUUGUUUAGUGUCAUGUUGGUUUAGCCACAAGUGUUGACUCAUAUGGAUGUGAUAUUCAUUUUGUAUAGGCCAUGGAUGAUUGCUAAUAUUUAUUAUUGCUAAAUACAUUUAAUGAGGAUUAUCAUAGAUGUGGAUGUUUGGUUGUGGCUGUUUUGGUUAUGUAUGUUUAUGCUUGGAUUGGAGAUGUUUGAUGUUGUGUAGGUUGGUGCAAGUAAAGGUGGCAAAAAGGCUUUGUAGAUAGCCUUGUUAUUGUCCAUACGGGCAGACACACGGGCGUGUGCCUAUGCCAUGUGUGACACACGGUCUACUCCAUGGAAGUGUAGUCAGGUCGUGUGUCCCUUGCACCUAAAUUUGGCAAAACAGAAUGCCAGUAGUCACCACACAGGCGGAGAUACGAUUGUGUGUCUCAACCGUGUGAAGGACACGGCCUAGUAUACGGGCGUGUACCAUGGUCAUGUGCCCCUAAAGGGUUGAUGAUGUCAGAAAUAGAAUGUCAAGGUUUUUGUACAUGGGCUGAGACACGAGCGUGUUAUGGCCAUGCGAGGGACACAGGCCAUGGACACAGGCGUGUGCCAAGCCAUGUGAAAACCCUUGUAGGUUCAAAUCGAGAAAUAAAUUGGCAUAGGCUAGGGACACCGGCGUGUCCUGAUAUGUUCAGGUCGUGUGAACCACACGGGCCUUCAACAUGGCUAUGUUAAGAGGACACAUGGGCGUGUCGCCCUGACACACGGGCGUGUGCCCUUGGUUGCAUUGAAAUUUUUUAAAGUUUUUAAAAAGUGUUCGGUUUAUUCCCGAACUAUUUCUAAAGCGUGUUUUGGGCCUUUUAGGUCCAUAUUAGGGACGUUAAGAGGAAGUUUGAAAGUUUUUAAAUUUAAGCAAAAUUUUACGACCCAAAAAUGUUUGUAUGUAUGUGUUUAAGUUUAGUAAAGCCUCGUACCCUGCCCCGGCGUGGGAUAUGGGUAAGGGUUGUUACACCAAGAGUGGUCAUAUCCUGAAUUUUUAGUUUAGAUUGUGAAAAUUUUAUCGAGUUAAUUUGGUUUAAUGGUUAAGUGUAGAGUUUGUGUGAGAGAGGUCUUAUGUUCAAAUCAUGUGUGUGCAAAGUGAAAAUUAUUUUUGUUUUUAACUCUAAGGAAAAGUCUAAUAUGGAUAAUUAAUAAGUGUUAAUGGGUUUUUUUUUAAUAAAAAUGAGGGAUUAACUCCUAAUUUCACUCCACCGUUCACUAAUUUCCAUUUCCCCUUCUUUUUGUCAAGUUUCUUUUUCCUCUUUUUUCCCUUUCUUUUGUUUUUCUUGAAUUUCUUUCAUCUUUUUUCUUUUUGUCAUUAAAUCAUUGUAGAACUACCUUUUUUACUCUUCUUUUGCGAUUAUAAACAAUAAGUGUAAGUAAAGUUUUUUAUUUUUUUAUAUUAAAAUAUUUAACUCGUUCUUGAAAAAGGUAUAAGUUGUUAGUGUCAUUUUUGUUUUUUUUUUGUGGUGUUAAGUGUUUCUAGUGGUCUUUGAUUAGGCGAAGUGUGCGACAUUUAGGAUCUUCUGAUGGAGUAGCUACUGUUUUGGCACUGUUUCGUUGUGAGGUAAGUGCUCGUAAAUUGGUUUUGGGACUAAUUUUUUGAAAAAGGAGGGUUAUCAAGUGAAAUAUUAGGGUUAAUUUGUGUUUUUUAAUCAAGGCAUUUUGGUGUCAUAUGUAUGAUUUGGAGUGAGUUAUUGUGUGGCCUAUAAAAAUAACAUCAGGUGUGUGAAUCUAACCCGAAACAUCGAUUAGAACACGAAAGAACUCAAAAAUAAAAGUUUUUGAAACUGUUCUGUGUCACACGGUCAUGUGGUAGGCCAUGUGGCAGAUCGUUUGAAUCACACGAUCAUAUGGUUGGUCGUGUGGGUCAUAAGCCGUAUGGCAAACCAUGUAGGUCACAUGCCCGUAUGAGUCACAAGGGUGUGUGUUAGGUCGUGUGGGCCACACAGGCUGGGCCAAUUAGGUCGUGUGGGCUACCAGCUGUGUGGGACCAUUUUUUAGAAAAUUUUACCUAGGCCUGUUUGACUCCGAAAUUUGUAAUUAGACCUUUCGUGAGGUCUGUUUGGCUCAAAUAAGAUUCAAAGUGUGACAUCUAUCAAUAUAUGAUAUGGUUAAUGUAAUAGGCCAAAUCCGUCCGGGCCUAACACAAUGGCCCAAUGCCCAAAACAAGCCCAAAUAACCUAAAACUUUCGUCGACUGCCCCCUCCAUGCCCCCGUACACCCCGUACCUACGAGUAAGCCAAAACCACAGUAGCAAAUGCAAACAAAAGGCAACAGCAGAGCAGUAGCAAAGGGGAAAUAAUGAAAAUUUAUAUUUUCUUUCUUUCUUUUCUUAUUUUCCUUCUUUUCGGCUAUAAAGGCCUAAAAAUUUCAUUGUAUUUUAGUUACAAUACAGGCAUAAGAUAGAAAAAAGGAGAGCAAUAGAAUACAAAAAAUCAAGGUGUUUCUUUCUGUUCCGUUUUCUCCAUUUCUUUUGCAAAUCCAGUUUCGAAUAUAACAUAUAUAUAGAUAUUCAAAGAAGACAUAAAGGGACUCUUUUUGAGAUCAGGGGUUUUAGUUUCAUUUGUUUUUUUUUUUUUUUUUGCUUAGAUAGAUAAAAAUUUUAGUAAAAAAGGAGGAGAAAAUUUACCUGUGUUUUGGGGGUUUCGGACUGGUGCCAUGGCGGAGGCAGAGGCGGAGGCGUCGAACGCCGAUGAACGCCGAAAUCGGCUAAGACCGACACGCUAUGGGCAUCGUCUCCCCCUCUCCCUCUUUUCCCUUUCUUUUUCCCUUUUCAAUCUGCAGAAACAUUCUAGGCUUCCCCUUUCCUUUUUUUUUUUUUAUAUCUGUUGAAGCGCUUAGGCUUUUAAGAGAUUUUGUCCUCUUUUAAUUGGCAACACAAAGUGACGCCGUUUAUGGCUUGUAUUUGUAGCCUUGAAAUGGAG